GUACACUCCUGCGGGAGGCAGCAGUGGGGAAUUUUGGACAAUGGGCGAAAGCCUGAUCCAGCAAUGCCGCGUGAGUGAAGAAGGCCUUCGGGUUGUAAAGCUCUUUUGUCAGGGAAGAAACGGUGAAAGCUAAUAUCUUUUGCUAAUGACGGUACCUGAAGAAUAAGCACCGGCUAACUACGUGCCAGCAGCCGCGGUAAUACGUAGGGUGCAAGCGUUAAGCGGAAUUACUGGGCGUAAAGCGUGCGCAGGCGGUUUUGUAAGUCUGAUGUGAAAUCCCCGGGCUCAACCUGGGAAUUGCAUUGGAGACUGCAAGGCUAGAAUCUGGCAGAGGGGGGUAGAAUUCCACGGGUAGCAGUGAAAUGCGUAUAUAUGUGGAGGAACACCGAUGGCGAAGGCAGCCCCCUGGGUCAAGAUUGACGCUCAUGCACGAAAGCGUGGGGAGCAAACAGGAUUAUAAACCCCGGUAGUCCCAUGAU
rnacentral:rRNA from 1 species